UUUAUUGGAGAGUUUGAUCCUGGCUCAGGACGAACGCUGGCGGCGUGCCUAAUACAUGCAAGUCGAGCGGAAUCGAUGGAGUGCUUGCACUCCUGAGAUUUAGCGGCGGACGGGUGAGUAACAC
rnacentral:rRNA from 1 species